rnacentral:tRNA from 1 species
AUUUAUAUAGUUUAAAAAACAUUAUAUUUUCAAUAUAAAAUUAAUAAAUUUCAUUUAUAAAUA